UACGUAGGUGGCAAGCGUUGUCCGGAAUUAUUGGGCGUAAAGCGCGCGCAGGCGGUCCUUUAAGUCUGAUGUGAAAGCCCACGGCUCAACCGUGGAGGGUCAUUGGAAACUGGGGGACUUGAGUACAGAAGAGGAAAGCGGAAUUCCACGUGUAGCGGUGAAAUGCGUAGAGAUGUGGAGGAACACCAGUGGCGAAGGCGGCUUUCUGGUCUGUAACUGGCGCUGAGGCGCGAAAGCGUGGGGAGCGAACAGG
rnacentral:rRNA from 1 species